rnacentral:lncRNA from 1 species
UUUCCUAAUCAGAGGACUGUAAAUGCCUUGGAAAGAAAGGCAGAUACUCUUAAGAUAAUGCCGUUCUUUUUAAAUGGCACCGUGACAUUCCCACUGGGCAUAUUUUACAAUAGUUCUGAUGGACAACUAUUUUGAUUUACAAUUGAUGUGACUCACUGCCAAUUCCAAGUCUACUCAAUUAUCAGAUGAAACUCCUCUUUUAUUUUAUGUUUUGAGUAAUUUGGUUGCUAUCCAAAUGGUCCAUUUUGGCCAGCAUUUCUGAAGGUCUUCCACAGUUAGUUUUAGAAUGUGGAUUAAAAUGCUUGAUUUGCUUUUCUCCAUGAGACCGUGAACUGUUACAGCGCUACGCAGUCCGCAGAAUCUGCCACCUCCCUGACUCUGGAAUCCAACAGCAGAGUUUGUGAACACAGUAGUUUUGUGACAAAACAAAGGUCUGAGAGACUACAUUUCAAAGUGAUGGAGGACAUGGAUGCUUAAGAAAAUGCAGCUUUGACUUGAUCAUGUUAAUGGUGUGAAGAUCUAGGAGAGAAGAAAGAUGAUAAAUACAAAGAGCCAGUGUUUCAUCAUGCAAGUGCAUAGAGAAUCUUCAGAUGUUUGGAGUCUCUGAUACUUGUUUCUGCAUGGACUUGUUUUGCCUUACUCAUUUCUGGGUCAGAAGCUACCCAGCAGCCAACAAGCACCAACUAAGGUUUAAAUGUAGGGGAGGCAUUAUGAGAAAAUUAUGCUGCUGCAGUACGUUCUCCUUCAUCUACUCUGGUAGUGUUGCUCUUGCUGAUGGUGAGGAUGGUAGCAGCAUCUUCAGAGCAUUAUAUCUAUGCUUCAGAAGGGGAUAA